AUAGCCACAUGUCUCCUGCAGCCAAUCAGUGAAGCCAUCCUUGUUGCCACCUUAUCUCUGGGAUAGAGAUGAAAAUCCCAACUGUCAGUCACAUGUUCCUGGUAGCCAAUUAGAAAAGCCAUCCUUGUUGCAUUCUACUCUUCUGGGAUAAGGAAGAAAUCCGCUUUACCAAUAUCCCUGGAUGAUGUGGAUACAGAAACAAAUGGGAAAGACAACAGUGAUGUUCUAACAUCUGAAAGCCAUCCCACCCAGAGAGCAGGUCUAUGACCUCAAAGAAAAAUGGGACAUCAAACCGGGGCACAGACUUCAGGAGGAAGUGGUUUCUUUUAUUCAGUAAAAUAUAAAAUUAUAAAUAUUUAAGAAGGUGCAACUCAGUACACAGCAGCGUUUCCAGCCCGGACCAGGCUCUUCGUCAGGCAAUAUGGAAUCACAUGGGGAAUGGGGAUUACAAGACAAUAAUGGUAAUUCCUUCCGGUUCAGGGACCAGGCCAGUAGAACUGGAAACAGUUAAAAUUAAAUAAUUAUAUAAUAAUAAAAUAGUGAAGCAGUCAUGUGUAAAAACAAUAUACAAUUAAAACAGUUCACAAAUAAGAUGCAGAAUAUAGUAGGAAUGAUACAGUCGAAAUUUUGUGAAAUAAGAACAAAAAGUGGUACGUAGCCUGAGGUCAUGAUGUGGUAGAGCUAACAGCGGCGCAGGCGCACAUCAGUAGGGCCAGCAGAUGUCAGAGAGGAAGUAUGGGUUAAUGCGCAUGCGCUUGACGUGUAGAGAGCAGAUUUUCAGGAUGCACAAGCGUGAUGGACCAGAAGAAGGAAUGGGCAGCCGAUAGGGGGGUUUCAGCUUUUUCAAGUGUUUAGACCGGGAUCAGUAUUUGACCGGAAAAUGCUGUAAAAGGUAAGGGCCCACUAUGAGAUAAUUUCUCGGACUUCAUUCAGUCCGUGGGGAGACAAAGUUUGUAUUUUGUAGAUCCAGUAUAUUUCGAGUCUCAGUUUUUCAAAUCUAUUGUUGAUGGUGGCAGGGACAAAGUCAAUAGGUAUAAUGGAGAUGGCUGGUUCUGGUCUGGAUGUAGAAAUGUGAUGUGUUUAGAGAGGCCAUGUAAUAAAAAUUUCCUUUUUAUGUUUAAUCUGUGCUGAUUUAAUCUCAAAUGGAGGGGUCUUGUUACAUUGGAUCAUGUAAAUGAGGUGAUUAGAGCAGCAGGUAAGGUGGUAUUUUAUGCUAAAAGUUUCUCCCGUAGAGGAUGAGGUGAAAACCGAUUUUCCAUGGAUGAUCUGGGUACAGCAGAGGCAGCGUAGUUUUUUACAUUUAAAGCUGCCUUUGUCCAAUGGUUUUCCGAAGAGAUCUUUGGGAAUGCUGUAUUUUUGUUGCUGUCUUCUGAUCUGUGCUAGAUUAGUGCUAGAAUAGUUUUGAGCGAUGGUGCUCUCCUGUAUGUGCAUCGUGGUCGAGGAGGAAUUAGGGGACCCAAAAAAAGGGUAGGCUUUGAGGAUGUGCCAAUGGCGUGUUAAUAUAUUCUUAAUCUGGCUUGCAUCAUUACUGUGGGUGGUAAUCAGGUUCGAUGAGAAUGGAUUCUUUCUUUUUUCUUUAUGUUCGUUUGAAGAUGGUCUUGUGGGAUCGCUUUUCAUGUGGUUUAGACAGACUGUUUUAGAUAAUCUCUUGGUGCGAUUGCAGGCUUCAUUGAGAAUUUUUUCUGGUAGUUUUUCUGCCGAAAGCGGUCACAGAGAAUUUUGGAUUGGUUUUUGAAGGUGUCAGAGUUUGUACAAUUUUUUUUUAUUCUUUUAUAUUGACUAUAUGGAAUAUUGACAAACCAUUUUUUUAAAUGGGCGCUGUAGAAAUCCAAAUAGCUAUUUUCAUCCACCUUUUUGAAGAAGGUGGAUGUGAGGAAGGCUGUAUCGUUGUGAGUGAUAUUGAUGUCCAGAAAAUUUAUACUGUCAUUAUUGUAUUCCAAUGUAUAUUGUAUGCCCCAAUUAUUGCUGUUAAGAUGCUGGAGGAAGGUGGAGAUGGUGACAGGGGAGCCCUUCCAGACAAAAAACAGAUCAUUGAUGUAUCGAUAAUAAACGGCGAUAUUUUGCAUGAUGAUAGGGUUAUUCCAGAUGUAUUCGGUCUCAAAGGCGUCCAUGAAUAUAGUUGCAUAAAAUGGGGAGACCUUUGAGCC